rfam:Pilibacter termitis strain ATCC BAA-1030 genome assembly, contig: EI49DRAFT_scaffold00002.2
UGAGAAAAGCAGAAGUACCCACUUCUCGCCUAGGAGAUAAGGUUUCCGGGCAGAUAAUUGUGUUUUUAAACAGAAUUUUUGUGGGCUUUUGUGUAAACAAAGGCUUUUUUCUAUUAAA